GAGGUUGUGGCUCAGUGGUAGAGUGCUCACCUUGCACAUGUGAGGCCAUGGGCUCAAUCUCA
rnacentral:tRNA from 1 species